UACCAGACUCCUACGGGAGGCAGCAGUGAGGAAUAUUGGUCAAUGGACGCAGGUCUGAACCAGCCAUGCCGCGUGCAGGAUGACGGCUCUAUGAGUUGUAAACUGCUUUUGUACGAGGGUAAACCCCGAUACGUGUAUCGGGUUGAAAGUAUCGUACGAAUAAGGAUCGGCUAACUACGUGCCAGCAGCCGCGGUCAUACGUAGGAUCCGAGCAUUAUCCGGAGUGACUGGGUGUAAAGAGUUGCGUAGGUGGCAUAAUAAGUAGCUAGUGAAAUCUGGUGGCUCAACCAUUCAGACUAUUAGCUAAACUGUUAAGCUCGAGACCGUUAGGGGUAACUGGAAUUUCUAGUGUAGGAGUGAAAUCCGUAGAUAUUAGAAGGAACACCAAUAGCGUAGGCAGGUUACUGGGACGGUUCUGACACUAAGGCACGAAAGCGUAGGGAGCAAACGGGAUUAGAUACCCCUGUAAU
rnacentral:rRNA from 1 species